AAGAGAAUUGGGCUGAGAUGAGCUGUCAGUAAAAUUUGCAUCUUCGUUUUAAAAAUGCUCACAUCUUGUGCAGAAUAGAUGAUUGUCUGUGUGCAGGGGGCAAGGCGUGGGUAGAGCACUUUUGAAGGAGCUGUUGGGCAGGGCUGGAGCCUCGGAUGUCCUGCUGACGACCAUUGGCAGCCGCAUGAAGUUCUACCAGAAUGAGGGAUUUCACCGGUUGAGCAUGAACGAAAUUCCCAGGUUCCGACCUGCCAGCUCAAUCUCACAAACCAAAUAUGCACUUUUGCAGAAAACCGCUCUGCGUAGCCCCCUCUUUAUCCCAUCUACUGAACUGCAAAUUGUCGAUUUAAAGUGUCUUUGUGACAAUGCAGGUCGCUGCUUUUCGAGGUGCUUGCUGGAACCGUGGUUGCCCGCAUAGCAGCAGGGGAUGAAUUGGUGGUGAUGAAGCGUGCUGCCUAGAUGAGCAAUGCACUGGGCAUACAGUUGUUGUGCUCGAUGAUUUAUUACAACAGAUUGCCAGCUGGGGAUCAAGAGCCCUCUCAGCAACAAUGCAGACCAAUUCAGGCUCACAUCAAAGCAUGGCAAUUGACAUCAAGAACUGGCUUUCCAGCAAAUCAAAUUAUGCCGCUCAAAGUAGCAAUCACGACAAUGUUAACUCAGUUGCAUCACCAGGCAGUGUGCACAACAGAAUAUUUUUGAAGUGAGAUAAAAGCCGUUUAAGGACUCAUGAGGUUUAGCAUAUGCAUGAUUAUUAAUCUUCUGGAUACCGAAAGCGCAGAUAUGCGUUGGGUACGUAUCGGCUUGCUCCUAGCUCAAGACCCUCAAAGUAUCGGCCCACCU
rnacentral:lncRNA from 1 species